UACGUAGGGGGCUAGCGUUGUCCGGAUUUAUUGGGCGUAAAGAGCUCGUAGGCGGUGUGUCACGUCGGCCGUGAAAACCUGGGGCUUAACUCUGGGCGUGCGGUCGAUACGGGCAUCACUAGAGUUCGGCAGGGGAGACUGGAAUUCCUGGUGUAGCGGUGAAAUGCGCAGAUAUCAGGAGGAACACCGGUGGCGAAGGCGGGUCUCUGGGCCGAUACUGACGCUGAGGAGCGAAAGCGUGGGGAGCAAACAGG
rnacentral:rRNA from 1 species